UAUAGUUUAACAAAAACACUACUUUUUCAUAGUAAAAAUUAACUCCCCAUAGUUAUA
rnacentral:tRNA from 1 species